AGUGAACGCUGGCGGUAGGCCUAACACAUGCAAGUCGAACGGCAGCACAGGAGAGCUUGCUCUCUGGGUGGCGAGUGGCGGACGGGUGAGGAAUACAUCGGAAUCUACUCUGUCGUGGGGGAUAACGUAGGGAAACUUACGCUAAUACCGCGUACGACCUACGGGUGAAAGCAGGGGAUCUUCGGACCUUGCGCGAUUGAAUGAGCCGAUGUCGGAUUAGCUAGUUGGCGGGGUAAAGGCCCACCAAGGCGACGAUCCGUAGCUGGUCUGAGAGGAUGAUCAGCCACACUGGAACUGAGACACGGUCCAGACUCCUACGGGAGGCAGCAGUGGGGAAUAUUGGACAAUGGGCGCAAGCCUGAUCCAGCCGUACCGCGUGGGUGAAGAAGGCCUUCGGGUUGUAAAGCCCUUUUGUUGGGAAAGAAAUCCAGCUGGCUAAUACCCGGUUGGGAUGACGGUACCCAAAGAAUAAGCACCGGCUAACUUCGUGCCAGCCGCCGCCGUAA
rnacentral:rRNA from 1 species